UACGGGGGGGGCAAGCGUUGUUCGGAAUUACUGGGCGUAAAGGGCUCGUAGGUGGCCAUCUAAGUCAGACGUGAAAUCCCCAAGCUUAACUUGGGAACUGCGUCGGAUACUGGAUGGCUUGAAUUCGGCAGAGGGAUGCAGAAUUCCAGGUGUAGCGGUGAAAUGCGUAGAUAUCUGGAGGAAUACCGGUGGCGAAGGCGGCAUCCUGGACCGACAUUGACGCUGAGGAGCGAAAGCUAGGGGAGCAAACGGG
rnacentral:rRNA from 1 species